rnacentral:siRNA from 1 species
AGGAGAUACUCACACUUGACGCCA